GGGGAUUUAGCUCAGUGGCAUAAGCACCUGCCUUGCAAGCAGGCGAUCCCCG
rnacentral:tRNA from 1 species